rnacentral:rRNA from 1 species
GGGGAAUAUUGCACAAUGGGCGCAAGCCUGAUGCAGCGACGCCGCGUGAGGGAUGGAGGCCUUCGGGUUGUGAACCUCUUUCGCUCAUGGUCAAGCCGCAACUCGUGGUUGUGGUGAGGGUAGUGGGUAAAGAAGCGCCGGCUAACUACGUGCCAGCAGCCGCGGUAAUACGUAGGGCGCGAGCGUUGUCCGGAAUUAUUGGGCGUAAAGGGCUUGUAGGCGGUUGGUCGCGUCUGCCGUGAAAUCCUCUGGCUUAACUGGGGGCGUGCGGUGGGUACGGGCUGACUUGAGUGCGGUAGGGGAGACUGGAACUCCUGGUGUAGCGGUGGAAUGCGCAGAUAUCAGGAAGAACACCGGUGGCGAAGGCGGGUCUCUGGGCCGUUACUGACGCUGAGGAGCGAAAGCGUGGGGAGCGAACAGGAUUAGAUACCCUGGUAGUCCACGCUGUAAACGUUGGGCACUAGGUGUGGGGGCCACCCGUGGUUUCUGCGCCGUAGCUAACGCUUUAAGUGCCCCGCCUGGGGAGUACGGCCGCAAGGCUA